CGGCGCCUACGGGAGGCAGCAGUAGGGAAUCUUCCACAAUGGACGAAAGUCUGAUGGAGCAACGCCGCGUGAGUGAAGAAGGGUUUCGGCUCGUAAAGCUCUGUUGGUAGUGAAGAAAGAUAGAGGUAGUAACUGGCCUUUAUUUGACGGUAAUUACUUAGAAAGUCACGGCUAACUACGUGCCAGCAGCCGCGGGAAUACGUAGGUGGCAAGCGUUGUCCGGAUUUAUUGGGCGGAAAG
rnacentral:rRNA from 1 species